rnacentral:lncRNA from 1 species
GGAGGAAAAGUGGGUUUGAGGAGCUCAUCUACAUCAACCUGGCUGUGGAGAAGGAGUAAACCACUAAAUCAUCUUUGGAGGCUGAUCUCCCACUGGAGAAGAUGAAGGAAAUGAAAGAAGGUCUCAAAUUCCAGAAGGCAGAAUGACAAAGGGAAUUGUAGAAUUAAUUAUGAUCAACAAAAGAAAGACUGUAGUGAAGUGGAAGAAAUGAAAAACUUAGAAGAAGAAAGUGAUUGUUUCAUCAUAGUAUUCAUAAUGGAAAAUAAAGGAAACAUUGGGCAGUAAUGUAUUGCCAAGUAAAUAGAACUGAAUUAGUAAUCAGAUGACCUGAGUUCAAGUUCUUGUC